GGUGUAGGCGGCUGCGCAAGUGUGGAGUGAAAGCCCACGGCUCAACCGUGGAAUUGCUUCGCAAACUGCGUGGCUUGAGGUCAGUAGGGGUGCCUGGAACUCUCGGUGGAGCGGUGAAAUGCGUAGAUAUCGAGAGGAACGCCGGGGGCGAAAGCGGGGCACUGGGCUGACACUGACGCUGAGACCCGAAAGCGUGGGGAGCAAACA
rnacentral:rRNA from 1 species